rnacentral:lncRNA from 1 species
UGGAUCCUCCCUGGAUCCGGGAUCCUCCCUGAACCAGCCCCUGCUCCUCCCGGGACCCUCCUGGGAUCCUCCUGGGAUCUGGGAUCCACCCUGGAUCCUCCCUGGAUCAACCCCUGCUCCUCCCGGGAUCCUCCUGGGAUCUGGGAUCCACCCUGGAUCCUCCCUGGAUCCGGGAUCCUCCCUGAACCAGCCCCUGCUCCUCCCAGGAUCUGGGGGUUUUGGGAUCCUCCCUGGAUCAACCCCUGCUCCUCCCGGGAUCCUCCUGGGAUCUGGGAUCCUCCCUGGAUCCGGGAUCCACCCUGAACCAACCCCUGCUCCUCCCAGGAUCCGGAGUUUUGGGAUCCGCCCAGGAUCAACCCCUGCUCCUCCCGGGAUCCUCCCGGGAUCUGGGAUCCACCCUGAACCCUCCCAGGAUCCGGGAUCCGCCCUGAACCCUCCCGGGAUCCGGAGUUUUUGGGAUCCCCCCUGAAUAAAUCCCUUCUUUUCCCACUGAUUUUGUUUUUAUUUUUUUUGGGUGUUUGGGUCAUUCCCGGAGCCCUCAAAUCCCGCCGGAUCCUCCCCUAAAAAAAAUCCCCAAAAUCCCCAAAAUUCCCAAAAUUCCGAGGCUCUUUUCUUCCCAGAUCUGAUUUUAUUGGGGGAUCCGGGAAUUCCGGGAUCGCUUCCCGCUGCCCCGGGAUCCCGGCGGGAAUUUGGGGGGAAAUUCGCCGGGGGAACCCCGGGGGAAUCCCUGGGAAUUCCCGGGAAUUCCCGGAUGGGCUCAUCCCUGCUGGGGCGGGCAGGGCUCCCCGGGACGCUCCAGGUGGAUUCUGGGGCGGAUUCCAGCGGGACUGGGAGGCGGAGAGGGGAUUCCCGGGAAUGCUGAGGGAUUCCUGGGGGAUUCCUGGGAAUGCUGAGGGAUUCCCGGGAAUGCUGAGGGAUUCCCAGGGGAUUCCCAGAAAAUUCCUGGGAUUCCCGGGAAUGCUGAGGGAUUCCUGGAGAAUUCCUGGGAUUCUCGGGAACACUGAGGGAUUCCCAGGAUUCCCGGGGGAUUCCCGGGGGUGCUGAGGGAUUCCCGGAAAAUUCCCGGGAUUCCCGGGGGUGCUGAGGGAUUCCCGGGAGAUUCCCAGAAUUCCUGAUGGUGCUGAGGGGUUCCCAGGGGAUUCCUGGAAUUCCCCAGGGGUUUCCCAUGGAAUUCCCGAGGGAUUCCCGGAAUUCCCAGGGGUUUCCUGGAAUUCCCAGGGGUGCUGAGGCAUUCCCGGGGGUUUCCCGGAAUUCCCAGGGGUUUCCUGGAAUUCCCGAUGUUGUUGAGGGAUUCCCAGAGGAUUCCCAGAAUUCCCGGGGGUGCUGAGGGAUUCCUGGAGAGUUCCCGUGGGAU